rnacentral:rRNA from 1 species
AGUGAACGCUGGCGGUAGGCCUAACACAUGCAAGUCGAACGGCAGCACAGUAAGAGCUUGCUCUUACGGGUGGCGAGUGGCGGACGGGUGAGGAAUACAUCGGAAUCUACUUUUUCGUGGGGGAUAACGUAGGGAAACUUACGCUAAUACCGCAUACGACCUACGGGUGAAAGCAGGGGAUCUUCGGACCUUGCGCGAUUGAAUGAGCCGAUGUCGGAUUAGCUAGUUGGCGGGGUAAAGGCCCACCAAGGCGACGAUCCGUAGCUGGUCUGAGAGGGUGACAGGCGACAUGGGGACGGAGCUACGGCGCAGACUGCUACGGGGGGCAGCGGUGGGGAAUAUUGCACAAUGGGCGGAAGCAUGACGCAGAAACGCAGCGGGCGGGAUGACGGCCGGCGGGGUAAAAACCGCUGGCGCCUGGGACGAAGCGGGAGGGACGGUAAUGGGUAAAGAAGCACCGGCUAACUACGUG